CUUGAACACUGGAUUUGCAAAUGCAGAACAGCUGACUUAUGUUUCACAUGGUCAGUUGGAGAUUUCCCAUGCAAAAUUUCUAGUAACUCAGCAUUUGAUUGACACAUCAGUGAGGAAGGUUCAGUUUAGUUCCUCAUAUUGUAGUUUCACCCCAUGUGUCAUUUGUACCAAUUGUAGAUAUUGUCCAUAACAAGUCUUCAUGUUUCAUCUUGCCAGUGGUGCUGAUACUUUUUUUAUCACAACCGCUUGUUUCAGCUGUUCCAAGUAUUGAAGCAUUACUUAUGCAAGUACUUAGAGAGGGCUGCCCAUUACAAAAGAAGAGCUUAUCACGAUGCUAUGAUGGUAUGUUUGCAAAACUGGAAAAAAUUCUGUGCUAUGGUGGCAUUAAGUAUGUGCUCAACAUUUUGAAAAAUGUGAACAGCAAAAACAGUUGGUCAGAAUUUCAAAUGUCAAAAGUACUUAUUUCUGGAAAAUCAGUUAAUCUACAUCCUGAUUUUCUGCUGUUCCAUCAGUCACUAUGCAGUGUGUUUGGACAACCUAAGCAUUUUAAAAUCAGACUGCUUCAGUUUAUAUCGAAGAUGUAUUGCUUGUCAUACCCUGUGACCAACUUCACAGGACUAUGUUGUAAGUUAGUAUCACUUU